UGUCUCCUUCUUCGAUAAACAUUUGCAAAGCUUAUCAUGCAGGACGUUCACAUGACACUCCUAUGGUUGAUUUUGAGGAAGAUGAGGCCGAUGAAGAAGAUAUUGACUAUGAAGAAGAAGAGGAAGGAGAAGAAGAUGAGGA